CUUUCUUCCCUUCCCAGCUGUCAGAUUGGCUGUGAUGUUCGAGCCCGUACCAAUCUGAUCCCAAAGUUUGCUGAUUUUACAAAAUAUAUUGCUUCGAUUAUACAAAGUGGCUUGUUUAUAAAACAUAUUCCCUGUGCAUUUUCCUCUCUGCUGAUCUAAAGUACAGUGGCCAAUUCGAUAUCAUUAGAACGGCGACCUUGUUUUGUUCAUUAGUGCGUUAUUAAACAAUUGCCACAGUAACGCAUUACGCAUCCCUUUGCUUAGGGUACAGUGGUGGUAGUAGAAGUGUAAUUUCAUCGUGAGUUUUACCAGCAAAGUUGGAACACCGCUUCAAAUGACUUCCCGUGAAGUGAUCAGCAUCGCAUCCGAUGAUAGCGACACCGAAGAGGACCAAAGCCCGCAGAACAAACUGGCGGCGGAAUACAAGCAAAGCAGUAACACACGCAAACACAAAAAACACAAGCGGCACAAAAAAUCCUCCAAAGCGGAGAAAGGGGACAAGCAGCACAAGCCAAAAAAGCAUAAAAAACACAAACGAAAGCAUCGUGGUGAGGAUGAGGAUGAAAGUAGCACCGAAGGGGAACUGGCCAGAAACGGUGCGCCUGCUGAUUCAUCCCGCAAAGUGGUGGAGGUCACAUCGCGAGUUAAACAAUCCAUCGAAGGUGGCGAGGGUGAUGAGCGGCUGAGAGGAAACGACCAUGCGGCACGUUCGAAAAACAAUGGCAGCACGAAGGCGGUUGUAGCUGAGAAGCGUAAAGGUCACAUUUCUACCGAUCCUGAUAAGCUGGUGCAAAUGUUGACGCAAGAUUUAGACAAGCGCAAGGAGGAUGUCGUUUCGGUGGAAAGCGAAAGCGAUGGGACGGCGAUGGAAGAUGCACCCAGCCCGGAUGUUGCCGUCAUCGAGGACGAUGAGCUCAAUUUGGAGGAUCUGAUGCGACAGAAAGCGUUGCUACAGGCACGGCUCGGUGAGUAUGCAACGGACGAAGAAGACGAUGGGCUGGACAAGAUGGCAAGGAACGAAUCGAACUCCAGGGAGCGACCCGCCAAGAAGAAGCGGAUUGAAGCUGGCGAAACAGCCGUCAUCACUAUCGAUGGAGAUUCGACACCGGACCUUAACGAACAGGCACGCAAAAGAUCGUCCAAUGUGGUAAAUCGUGCUUCAAAAGGUGGCAAGGAGGAGCUUCAAGCUGUACACAGGGGAACGAAUGCAGAAGUUGAAAGCAAGAAGGCUAAGGACCAUCAGCAGCAUCCGUCCGAAGCACGGGCCCGACAGCUGGACCGGGAUCGUGAUCGUGAGCGGGAAAUGCGAGCGAGGGAAGAGCGGCGUAACAGGGAGGAGGAUAAUUACAAGCGACGCAUGGCCGAAGAGCGGUACGAGCGAGAGAAAGCACGGGAAAGGGAUCGGGAGCGUGAUCGUGAGCGGGCGCGAGUACGUCAACGGGAACGUGACCGUUCGCUGGAAAGACGACGUGAUCGACGCGGAUAUUCGCCUCGCGAAAGGAGCCGAGACAGACGUUCGCUUGAGCGUGAUCGUGGUCGUGGCGGUGGCGGUAGGUUGGGUUCGCGUGACCGUUUCCGUGGCCGUAGUAGAAGCCGUGAUCGCGACAUGCGCGGUGCGGGCGGUAGAAUAGAUCGGGAAAGGGAUCGUGGCCGUGAUAGGGACCGUGAUCGAGAUUAUGGUCGCGGGAUGCAGCGUAAUGGGCGUGAUGGACGCGGCGGUGGAAAGGGUCGUAAAAUGGAUGAUGAUCGCUUUAAAGACUCGCUUAGUGAGGGUCUGAAGCAGCAGAAGGAGUCAAGCAGCGAAAGCGAAAUAGCCGACAUCGAUAUCGACGACGAAGAGGACGAGGAAAAGAUUAUUGAGAAAAGACGCAAAGAACGGGAAGCCCUGCUCAAGAAACUGGGUGUUGUGAAUGAGGACAGCAAUACGAUGAUGGAAACGGUGGAACCUCCCGAGCUUAGACAGGUCAGUAUGGGCAGUACAGCGCCGUCAUCGCGUAACGAUAGCCGCGAAGCGACCAUCAUCCACAGCCAACGGGCGGACGACCGGGAUCGGGACGGCACAGAUCAAUCGCUUACCCCACCGAUACCGAACGAGCGGAAGGAUCUGAUGGAUAAGGUAGAACGUAAGCCGAAAGAAUCACCCGAACCACCGAAAGAUCUGGACAGGCAGAGUAAGGAACCGAAAAAUACUGCGAAAGAAAAUUCUAAACGCCCCGAAUGGGACAUGUUUGCCGAACAGGACAUCGACUCGAACUUCGACUCACCGGGUACGGUUGUGGCGAACAAGCAGGCGCACGAGAAUCCGGCCCUGACGGACAACUGGGACGAUGCGGAAGGUUACUAUCGUGUGCGAAUCGGUGAAAUCCUGGACAACCGGUACGUGGUCGCUAACUACACGGGACAGGGCGUGUUCAGUACGGUAGUGAAGGCGAGAGAUCAGGCUCGCGGCAAUGCUUUCGUGGCGGUUAAAAUCAUUCGCAACAAUGAGAUCAUGCAUAAAACGGGCUUGAGAGAGUUGGAUAUAUUGAAGAAACUCAACGACGCAGAUCCCAGCGAUCGAUAUCACUGUCUACGUUUAUACAGACACUUUUUCCACAAACAGCAUCUGUGCAUGGUUCUGGAGCCGUUGUCGAUGAAUCUGCGCGAAGUGUUGAAAAAGUAUGGCAAAAAUGUAGGACUACACAUUAAAGCCGUGCGUAGCUACACCCAGCAACUACUGCUAGCGCUCAAGCUGUUGAAAAAGACCGGAAUUCUUCAUGCGGACAUCAAACCGGACAACAUACUGGUGAACGAAAACAAUCUGGUGCUGAAGCUGUGUGACUUUGGAUCGGCUUCGUCGAUAACGGAUAACGAAAUUACACCGUACCUGGUGUCGCGGUUUUACCGUGCGCCGGAAAUCAUUCUCGGUCUGGCGUACGAUUACGGUAUCGAUAUGUGGUCGGCCGGAUGCUCCAUCUAUGAGUUGUACACGGGCAAGAUCUUGUUUAGUGGUCAGUCCAAUAAUCAAAUGCUUAAAUUUUUCAUGGAUCUGAAAGGCAAGAUACCGAACAAGCUGAUACGCAAGGGCCAAUUUAAGGAUCAACAUUUCGACCCGAACUGUAACUUUCUAUCGCACGAGAUAGAUAAGAUCACCGAACGGGAAAAGGUGGUGGUAGUAUCAAUGAUCAAACCAACGAGGGAUCUGCAACAGGAAUUGAUCGCUGGACAAAAUCUCCCAGACGACCAGAUACGGAAAGUGUCACAACUGAAGGAUUUGUUGGACAAAGUGUUUGCGCUCGAUCCGGCAAAGCGAAUUUCACUGAAUCACGCACUGGCACAUCCGUUCAUUCAAGAUAAGAUCUAAGGGAACGGACGUACCCAACCUGUCACGGAAUCAUUCAACCGAACACGCAACGGAAGUAUUUUCCUUCCAAUUGAUGGAUCACCGACUUUCUCAACAUCAGCAAAAUGCACACUAUUAACGAUCCUUUUCUUACUUACGCUUCACUGAUCAACACUUCUUCAUCCGCGCACGCACACACACACACCCUGCCCGGUUGUUCAUCGAACGAUGAAGGAAGGCUCCAACCCCGUAUCUGAUGCACUCAUCAUGCAUUCGUAGGAAUUGAAGUGUGUGUGCUUAUCAUACGAAGAAGCCCAUGAUGAGAAACGUUGUAGAAAAACAUUUGCUCUUGUUUUUUCACGAAGCAAAAAUAAGAGAGCAACUGAUGUUGAAAAUGCGGCAUUUCCCAAAUGCAUUCCCUCAGUUGGGCGAACCGGCACCGAGAUCGCGUGGCUUGAAACCGGCAAGCUAAAACUGGUGUCCUAGUCGGGAUCACGCAAGUUGUACCGGCACGGUGCUGUGAUGAAAAUCCACAACCGUCGCACAGAUAGAGAAGCAUGCAUCCCCGUUCAUGGAUUAGGUCUCUCUUUUUGUGGGCAAUAAUUCCACGGCACGCCCCGCUCACGGGAGGUUGAUGCUGAAGCGCUGUGCAUAAGAGGUAGUGAACGAAUUAUCUAAUGUUUCGUUAUUUAUUUACACAUUCGUGCAAGUUUACUAUUGCCAAAGCAUAUGUUAUUUUAUUUGAAAACGCCCUCCAGUAGAAUUCUAGUGAUUGAACUGACUCUCAAUACAUCCGUCUGACGCAUCUGACCACUAAUUGCUCGUUUUGUUUGCGAGCAUUCGUACAAAAAAAACACGAUGUUUAAUACGUUUCUUUGCUUAAACACUGUUCGACAUUUUAAAGACACAACACAAACGUAUCGCAGCGAUGCUCUCCGUGUGGACAGAGUUUGGAAGUGCUGCAUAUGAAAGAACCAGCCGUUUCUCACCGAUGGGUAACCUCUCAAGCGACCAUUUGCGCAUCUCCCUCGCGUGGUGUGAAACAGGUUGUUAUGUGUUCGUACCGUUGAUAAAUUCGUCAGCAAACGAUAUUGCUUGGUCUUUGUGCUUAAUCUCUUUUCAGCUUGUACUAAGUGAUAGUUGCAACAAUUUCGAAUGAGGAAUGUUCUUCGAAUGAGAAAAGAUGGCUGGAAUAUCGCAAACUAAAACGAACUCGUCGUAUGAAAUGCAGGAUGGUAAGUUCCUCAUUAUCUCGUUAGCAACAUAUUAUCCGAAUCUAUCGCAGGGUAUCGCUGUCCAGUGUAGUCCUACCCAUUAUGGUGAACUAUGAAUUAUCGAGCUCUUUGGUGUAACUUCUGCAGAAUAUUGAAUUGGGAAUAAAGAUGUCUCCGACGGAGCAUACGAAAGAGUGAA